rnacentral:siRNA from 1 species
AUAAAUCCUCAAGUUGAGACUUAU